GGGGGUGUAGCUCAGUGGUAGAGCGUGUGCUUAGCAUGCACAAGGUCCUGGGUUCAAUCCCCAGCACCUCCA
rnacentral:tRNA from 1 species